UGUCCCCACGCUGCAGCCGUCACCUGUACCCCAAUGGAAGGUAGGAGGGGAGUGUCCCCACUCUGCAGCCGUCACCUGUACCCCAAUGGAAGGUAGGAGGGGAGUGUCCCCACUCUGCAGGGGUCACCUGUACCCCAAUGGAAGGUAGGAGGGGAGUGUCCCCACUCUGCAGCCGUCACCUGUACCCCAAUGGAAGGUAGGAGGGGAGUGUCCCCACUCUGCAGGGGUCACCUGUACCCCAAUGGAAGGUAGGAGGGGAGUGUCCCCACUCUGCAGGGGUCACCUGUACCCCAAUGGAAGGUAGGAGGGGAGUGUCCCCACUCUGCAGCCGUCACCUGUACCCCAAUGGAAGGUAGGAGGGGAGUGUCCCCACUCUGCAGGGGUCACCUGUACCCCAAUGGAAGGUAGGAGGGGAGUGUCCCCACUCUGCAGCCGUCACCUGUACCCCAAUGGAAGGUAG